CAGUAGCUCCAAUGGUAGAGCGGCGGUCUCCAAAACCGCAUGUUCCAGGUUCGAGUCCUGGCUG
rnacentral:tRNA from 1 species